AAUGGGGGAAACCCUGAUCCAGCGAUGCUGCGUGCGGGAAGAAGGCCUUAGGGUUGUAAACCGCUUUCAGCUAGGAAGAAAAGGUUAUAGUUAACAUCUAUAAUUAUGACGGUACUAGCAGAAGAAGCACCGGCUAACUACGUGCCAGCAGCCGCGGUAAUACGUAGGGUGCAAGCGUUAAUCGGAAUUACUGGGCGUAAAGAGUGCGCAGGCGGCUCUUUAAGACAGGUGUGAAAUCCCCGAGCUCAACUUGGGAAUUGCGCUUGUGACUGGAGAGCUAGAGUGCGGAAGAGGGGGAUAGAAUUCCCGGUGUAGCAGUGAAAUGCGUAGAUAUCAGGAGGAAUACCGAUGGCGAAGGCAGUCCCCUGGGCCAGCACUGACGCUCAUGCACGAAAGCGUGGGGAGCAAACAGGAUU
rnacentral:rRNA from 1 species